GCCGCCAUAGCUCAGUGGGUUAGAGGGCGGAUCUAAUAAGCCCAAGGUCGAAGGUUCGACCCCUGCUGGCGGAA
rfam:Toxocara canis scaffold1207, whole genome shotgun sequence.